rnacentral:tRNA from 1 species
GGUAAAAUGGCCGAGCAAGGCAUUAGACUGUAAAUCUAAGCACGAGGAUAGGUAGUCCUCUUUUACCA